rnacentral:lncRNA from 1 species
CUGAGACGUUUUAUUCUCCUUAUUCGUCGCUGGCACGCAACAAAAACGCCUUAUAUUCCAUCAGAAUAUCAUCAACAGUGCGUACUGAUUCACCUGAAAACCGAAUAAUAAAAAUGUUAGAUAUUUGAGACCAUGUACUACGAGUCUGCGACAUCUACGACUUUGAGCAAUGACAUUAGAACUGGAAGUAGAGGCUUUGAAGAAUUAAAGAAAGUUCUCCUUUUUUGGCUUCAUGUAAGCAUACUUCUCUCAUCAUGUCAUGCAUUUGACAAGAAUCCCAUCUCCAACUCAAACUAUCUUUUUCAGCAAUAACCAUAUUUCUCCUUAUUAACUCUUCCAAGUAUUCUUCUCCACUCUCUCGAAUGGUUGGUCCAUCGCAACUUGACGUUAUUAUUCCUUCUGCUGCCCAGAAAUAACACAAUUUAUUCACUUGUAUCUUGUAAUCUUCAGGUAAAUAAGCUAGGCAAAGGAAGCAAUGCUUUAACUCCAUUGACAAAUCUGAUACGUAGGAGGGGAUGAGGUGGCAUUCACGUGAGCAAUGCACGUGAGCACAUAACAUUUCACAUGGGAAGGAUGCUGAGCUGGCUGCUCUCCAACUUGCUGCUUACUCUUUCUAUUUAAGCUGUAGUUUGCUAGAGAGAAAGGUUAUCUAGAGUUUGAGUGAAUAAUCAGAGAGAGAUGUAGAGAGAUCUUCGAGAGAAGGAUUUGUAAUCGGUUUCUCUUGUAAAAUCACUAUUUCUCUCAAUACAAUCAGUAUUUCAUCUUUAGAUCAUUGUUUUCACAUCUACUCGUAACAAAAUCUUCAUAGCUCAGGGACAAAACUCGGCAAACUGAAUCUUUUUUGUUGUCAUCUAACUGAAUGAUCUGAGUUUGAAUAUUUUUUAUAUACUCGUUCCCACUCGUCAACCAUUUUUUUAGCUAACAAGCCUCCCAGCACUUUAACAGCUAACAGUAGUCCUCCACAAUAUGUAACCAUUUUCUUACCCAUAUCUUCUAGCUCUUUAUCAACACCAAAUUCUGCGAAACAAUAGCAUAUAUUAUAAGACAAUGGCCAUGAACAAUAUGUCUACCCUAGAAGAUAAAUUAGUGAAUUACUCCACAAGAUUUUUGAUUAUAGGAGGUAAGAGAUAUCACAUUCAGUGUCUUAAUUAACAAACGUACCAGUUUUGUCUCUUCUAGAUAAUGCUAUCCCCUCACAUAGCUUCCAAGUUCCAACUUUCCUCGGGAUUAAGGAUUUUUGGUGUAAAGGCAAAACAUGUUGGGUCUGCAUGUAAACCAACACCUUCAUCGCGAGAAGUAAGAAUCACUUUCCAACCUGCAAAUUAAAUUUUCUUUUAUGUCAGUUAGGGAUUAAAAGGCAUUUAUGAAACUGCUAACGGAAGCACUUAAGUAAUGUAUGAAAAAGUAAAGAGCUCGCCUCUUUCUUGGGGGAAAACGUCUUUUAUUAGAUCCCAGUCUUCAUUUUUCCAUACAUCAUCGAUGACAAUUAAAUGUCUAGAUUUUCCCAGCAAUAGAAAGAGCUCUGCCUGGAGUUUAUUCUCAUCCAUCUGUUUGAUGUUCUCAUCAUGUGGUCUAAGAUCUUGCAAGAUCUUUUGCCAGAUAUCCUUCCGCUGAAACUCUUUUGAAACACAUACCCAUGCGAAUCGAUUAAAACGAUGUCGAACAAUGUCAUGAUGAAAAACUUGUCUCGCCAGAGUGGUUUUACCAAUACCACCCAUCCCUGAUAUGGAAACCACUUGAAUGUUAUCUUUCUUCACCAAAUGACCAACCAAGUCUUCAACACUUUCUUCCACCCCCACAAGGCCCUUUUCAGAACUCUUCGGAAAUGUUUGUCGGAUCUCCCUCUGCACCCUUUGUCUCUCUUUUAGAGACAGUGAACGGCCAUCGCUCAUGAUUUCUUUUAUUCCAAAGCUCUGCAUGUCCGCAACAACCUCAGACAUUCUCUUAGUUAUGCCUUCAAUGUCUAUAGAAAUAUCUCGUCGGUUCCCUAAGAAACAAGAAAGUUUUCUCACACGCCUCUUGAUCCCUUUUUCUUUACCACUAGAUUCUUUCAAAACAAAGGAUUCAAUUAUAUCUUCAGCAUCAUAAACAAUGUUUUUGACAUCUUCCAAUAAGUUUCUCACAACUUCAUUCUCAUGUUUCUUGGCAUCUGCAUCUUUCAACAAUGACUGUAACUUUCGCAGGUGACGUUCUAGAUCAGUAACAUGCUCAUGCACUCCCUGUAAUCGCUCAGAUUCUCGACUCAGGAGGUCCCAGAGUUUCUCCAUUCCAAAGGACACAACUCCCUCAGCCAGCACUGACACAACUACCUCAGCCAUCACUGAUCUCCUGUCAGAGGAACUUUUUUUCUUAACUUAUUUUUAAUGAAAUAAUUUUAUUUUAUUUUUAAAUCUGAUUCGACCAUAACAGAGGGAAAAAAGACAGAUCGAAGCAAGUUAAGUCGAAAAAUAUGAUGUAGAAAACAUGAUUUACCUUUUACGAAACAGAUCUGCAACUCUGUUCUAUCUGAUUUACCUUUCAGCGACGUUCUUUGGAAGAAGAGAUAUGAGUUGCAAUGAAAGAGAAAGUCAACUUUUGCAGUCGCUUCUAUCUGUAAUAAUGCAUUUGCUUUAGACAACUGAGAAUAAUUUUAUUCAAAGACCACGAAGGCCACCAACCACAACUACAACAGUGUCUUUCACCAUCAUUCCAUCAAUAGCUCAAAACACAGAGUAAAAACCAGGGGAGUUACAAAAAUAGAGUGACAGUCCCCGAAUUAAAUCCUAACCUUCCUUCCUAGACAUAUGUUAGAGAAAACGGCUUUCAUUAACAAGGAACUAAAACAACCAAGGGGGAUGACCAGUGGCCACAUAGGAUUGGAUCCGCCCUUGCCUAGUAACACUUUGAGCAAUGAAAGAUGUUCCUCUAUUUGCCUCUUCCCCCCCCCCCCCCCCCCACAACCUGCAAUCCAAACUCAUUCAUCUCCAAUAACUCUCUUAAGAUCUCAUAGGCUUGAUAAGAAAAAGAUGGCCAGGCUUCCGGGCGGAGUACUGCUCCCAAACAGGUCAGAGAAUUCACCAGCAAAGAAUAAACCGGAAUGUCUACCAAUACUGACUACUAUUUCUAGUAAUAAUAUAAGUACAUAUGAUAAAAAUGUGGAGAGUACCUGGAGCUAUGUAACCAUAGGAACUAGCAAUGGUUUUGAAAGAACGAGCAAAGUCUCCACCGUCAACAAGCUUAGCAAGACCGAAAUCUCAAAUAUAGGGCCCAAAAUCAGGGCCAAUGAGAAUAUUAUUAGCCAUGAUGGGAGGAACACAGUCAUGAUGCAAGUAAGCCAAACCCUGAGCUGCACCAAGUAUAAUCCUGUGCCUAACCUCCCAUCCUAAGAUACAUUCAUCACUCCUAUCAUGAAGCAAGCUUCCCAAACUCCCAUUCGACAUAUAAUCAUACAUAAGAAGUCUCGUGUUCUUGUUCCAACAACAUCCCAAGAACCUUCUAGAAAUUAAGCUUCGAUAAUAUGAAUAUAAGAACACACACAAUAAGAACUCUUCUUAUUAAUCCCUUGAGGAAACUAACUCAAAACCUCAAGCUCACAAACUCAUAAACUCACACAUUGGAUCAUCUCAUGAUCUCUCUAUUUAUAUAUCUAUGUUUGUCCUAAUCCUAUUAGUAAUUACAUAUGUUUAGAUAACUCUAAACUAAAGAUAACCCUUAUCUUUAUUCUCCCACUUCUUUUAGGAUUAGGAUUGCUUCCUUCUCAAGCUAUCUUCAAGCUUACUUCAACAUUGUCCCUCCUAAGCUUGAAGCUUUCAGUCUAUAAGUCUUUCAUUCCGAUAAACUCUCUCAUCUCCUUGAACUUGAUUCUUCCCAAUGCUUUUGUCAAGAUAUCUGCCUUCUGCUUCUCUCCGGGAACGUGCUCGACUGCUAUCUGUCCGUUCUCAACGCACUCUCUUAUAAAAUGAUAUCUCUUAUGUAUAUGUUUGCUUCUUCCAUGGAACACCGGGUUUCUUGUUAACGCAAUUGCAGACUGGUUAUCAAUUAAAAUGGUGACUCUCUUGCUUGGUUGAUCCAUGAUCUCACUCAAUAAGUCUUGUAACCAAAUGGCCUGUCUCGCGGCCUCUGUUCCUGCCAUGAACUCGGCUUCGCAGGAUGAUAGAGCCACCGUGUCUUGCUUUUGUGAGCUCCACGUGAUUGGACUAUCUCCUAGAUAGAAUAUAUGGCCUGUCGUGCUUUUCCCAUCGUCUGGAUCAGACUCAUAGCUACUGUCGCUGUACCCUAUAAGCUUUGGAACCUUGAGAGAACUCCUCUCGAAUGUUAGGCCAUACGAGAUGCUUCCCCGUAGAUAUCUUAGCACCUGUUUCAUUGCGGCACCAUGUGAUUCUCUUGGACUCUGCAUGAAUCUUGAAAGAACUCCAACACUAUACGAUAAGUCAGGUCGUGUGUGAAGAAGAUAACGUAGGCAUCCUAUGUUUCUUCUGAACCUUGUCGCGUCAAUCUCUUUCUCGUUUUCAGCUUUUGACAACUUUAGACCAAGUUCCAUCGGAGUUUGGACAGAAUUGCAUUUGUCCAUUCCAUCUUCUUCUAAAAUCUUCGAUGCGUAGCUUCUUUGCACCAAUGAAAUCCCAUUCUCGUAUUGGCACACUUCUAUGCCAAGAUAAUAAGUAAGCUUGCCUAAAUCACUCAUGUCAAACUUGCUUGACAUAUUAUCUUUGAACUCCUUGAUCAUCUUUUGGUUAGUACCAGUCACAAACAGAUCAUCUACAUAAACUGCAACGAUUAAUAGCUCUCCUUCUUCUAUCUUGCGAUAUACCGAAGGCUCCUUAGAGCAUUUUUUAAACUUAAGUUCACAGAGUAUCUGGUUUAGUUUAUUGUUCCACGCCCGUGGAGCUUGCCUUAAUCCAUAUAGUGCUUUGUUCAGUUUAUACACUUUUCCUUCUUCUCCUUUUCUUUCAUAACCCUCAGGUUGCAUAACAUAAACAGUUUCCUUUAGUUCUCCAUGUAGGAAUGCUGUUUUAACAUCCAAGUGAUGCACCUCCCAUCCAUUCGUAGCUGCUAGAUUAACGAGAAGUCUUAUUGUUUCAAGACGUGCUACUGGUGCGAAUACCUCAUCAAAAUCAAUUCCGUGACGCUGCACAUAUCCUUUAGCCACUAGCCUUGAUUUGUACUUGUUAAUGCUUCCAUCUGCGUUGCGUUUGAUCUUGAACACCCACUUAAGACCAAUGGCUUUGGCACCGCACGGCAACUCAACUAAACUCCAUGUAUCAUUCUUUUCGAUGGAUAUGAUCUCUUCCUCACAUGCUCGUCUCCACUCCUUUGAUUCUUUAGCUUCAUUCCAAUUUCGUGGCUCAUGAUUCAGGUACAUCAAUAUCUCUUCACCAAGUUCUUCGGCAAGGAGAAUAUAAUCGUCAAGGUAUUUUGGUUUGUUGUGUUGCCUUUCCGAUCUUCUUAACACUUGUGUUUCUUCCUCUACUACUUCUUCUUGGUCAUCAGUGAUUACUAUACUCUCAGGUGCUGUUUCUUCUUCUUCGUUCGUAGCUUGUUUUAGACGUAACCGUUCCUCUCUCUCAAUGUGGUUAUCAACUCCGUGAUUACCAAACUCUCCUAUAGAUAUAGUGAAGUCUUCAAUGCUCUGGUUUUCCGUGGUGACCUCACUCCAAUUCCAUCCUCUUGACUCAUCAAAUACUACAUCUCUACUUACCACUAUCUUCUGAGUUUGUGGAUCUAGUAGGCGGUAAGCCUUUGAUCCUGGCUCUGUGCCUAAGUUUACUAACAUUCUUGCUCGAUCAUCUAAUUUCUUCAAGAGCUUUUUAUCUGCUUUUGCAUAAGCUAUGCAUCCGAACACGCGUAGAUGGCUAAUAUUUGGCUUCUUGUUACGGAACCCUUCAUACGGUGUCUUCUCUUUCAAGGCACGGGUGGCCACACGGUUUAGCAAAUAUGUUGAAUGUCGUAUAGCUUCUCCCCAAAGGUAGUUUGGCAUAUGCAUAUGUUUGAGAAUGCUUCUCGCCAUCUCUAACAAUGUUCUGUUUCUGCGUUCCACAACUCCGUUCUGUUGCGGUGUGUAUGGAGCCGUGAGGUGUCGUUUGAUGCCAAACCUUUCACAGAAGUCGUUGAACUCUCUGGAUACGAACUCUCCUCCUCUAUCCGUUCUGAAAACUCCUAUCUUCUUUCCUGUUUCUCUUUCUAUCACCUCCUUGAGCCUUUUAAAUUUGUUAAAUGCUUCACUCUUCUCUUUUAUCAACAUUGUCCACAUAUAUCUUGUGUUAUCAUCAAUAACCACAAAUAUAUAUCUAUUUCCCUUUGGAGUUCUCGGUGUUAUAGGCCCGCAUAGAUCGCCAUGAAGUAGCUCUAGUUUCUUUUCAGCUCGGUAUGUGGUUGAUUUAGGGAAGGGUUGCCUUGCUUGCUUGCCAAGUAAGCAUGAGCCGCACACUUCUUUUUCACCAUUUAUACUAGGAAGCCCGAGUACUAACUCCUUUUGUUUCAUCCCUUUUAAAGACUCAAAGUUUAUGUGCCCUAACCGAGCAUGCCAUCGCUUUGUUUCACUUGUCGUGGAUAGGUACAAGCGCGCAUUGCUUCUGAUUCCCAUAUGAACCUUGUACAGUCUAUUCUUUGAUCUUUUUGCUUUCACAAGCAAUUUCCCAUGUUGAUCAUGCAUCGUCAACUCUUCUCCUCUUAAUCUUAUGUCACAACCCGCUUCUGUGGCUUGACCCAAGCUUAUGAUAUUACUUUUCAAAUCAGGGAUGUAAUAAACAUCUAUCAUCUUCCUAUCUUCUCCAUUGCAAUCUGUAAAAGAAAUCGUUCCCUUGCCUUUUAUGUCUAUCCUUGAAUCGUCUCCAAAUCUAACCUUUCCCGUGAUGGUGUUGUCUAUUGCCGAAAAAUAUCUUCUAUCCCCAGUCAUAUGGUUGCUUGCUCCAUUAUCUAGAUACCAUAUGUUUUCUCCUUCACAACUUGUUUCGUAUUUUUCAGGUAAGACAUUCUUCUCGUUUAGGAACACUACCUCAUGCAUCAUGAGUUCAUCAGCUUCUUGGGUCUCUGUAUUGUCAGUUUCAUGAGCCUCUUGUAGUUUAAGAAGAAGCUCCGGACAUUGUGCGACAAAGUGGCCAACCUUGUCACAUCUAUAACAGGUUAUUUUGGAUGCGUCUCUCUCAUAUCCUCUUCCUCCAUUGUAGCUUUCAUUAUAUCCUCGUCCUCCAUUAUAUCGGCCACGUCCCCUUCCCCUGUUAUUGUAAGGACGUCUGCCGCCUCCUCUACCUCUUCCUCUAUAUGAAUCUCCUUGGUAGUAAUUUGAAUUGUCCGAUGAUCGAUUUGAUUGGUUGGUUUGGCCGCUUUGUCCUUCAUUAUUUGCAUACAUCAGUUUAGUUUGAUCUUCUUCUUCAUCUAAAACUCUUUCUUCGUAUGCCUUUAAACGUUCCAUGAUGUCUUCAAAGUUUGUUUUGUUAAGAUCCAACACCUGUUCGAGAGAAGCUACAAUGUGUAUAUAUUUCUUUCGAGGUAAACUUGAGAGAAAUUUUUUCACCAGCUUGGCUUCCUCGAUGAUAACUCCCAAUGCGGACGAUUUAGAGGCGAGUUCUGAUAAUUUUCCACCGAAAUCGUCUAUACUCUCGGUCUCUUUCAUCUUUAAUCUAUCAAACUCGUUCAUCAACGUUUGUAGUCUUGCUUCUUUUACUCGUUCUGCUCCCACAUAUCUUGCUUUAAUGGCUUCCCAAACUUGUUUAGCUUUAUCAAGUUCUCCUACUUGCAAGAUUAGCGACUCUGGUAUGGAUUGAAACAACAAUGCUAGUGCUAGGUCGUUUUUCUUAGCGCUCGCAGUCUCUGUCUCUAUUGCUUCCCAGACCUCAUGUACCUUCAAUGUGAUUCUCAUCCUCAUAACCCAUACUGUAUAAUUUGUCUGGUUAAGCAUAGGACACUUAAUCGAAGAGGACCCUCCUCCUUCUUUCACCUUGCCGGUUGCUUCCACAAUAUCUCCCAUGAUCUCUGUUUUGGCUCUGAUACCAAAUCUAGAAAUUAAGCUUCGAUAAUAUGAAUAUAAGAACACACACAAUAAGAACUCUUCUUAUUAAUCCCUUGAGGAAACUAACUCAAAACCUCAAGCUCACAAACUCAUAAACUCACACAUUGGAUCAUCUCAUGAUCUCUCUAUUUAUAUAUCUAUGUUUGUCCUAAUCCUAUUAGUAAUUACAUAUGUUUAGAUAACUCUAAACUAAAGAUAACCCUUAUCUUUAUUCUCCCACUUCUUUUAGGAUUAGGAUUGCUUCCUUCUCAAGCUAUCUUCAAGCUUACUUCAACAAACCUAACAAUGUUCUUGUGUCUGAUCGAACCAAGUGUCUUGACUUCAGCUGAGAAUGAGUCUCGACCUCCUGAUGUCUUAGCAACCGUUACUGUCACUGGCCAGAGCUUUUUCACUGCGAUGAUUUCUUGGUUAGGCAUUUCUGCUCUGUACACUACUCCAGAGCAACUUUUCCCUAUAACAUUACUUUCAACCAAACACUUUGAGUACAUGUUCAACCGUGAAGUUGAGUUUCUGAAAAGGUGUGAACUGCCAUGUCCACAGGUUUUCUCCCUUCUCUGAAUCGUUAUCAUCCUGAGUCAUCUGCCUUGCCCUUAAAACCGCUAACACGCCUAAUACCGCUAGAAUAAUUAUCAAACUUAUUAGCAAUCCAAUGGCUAUCUUGAGUCCCUGAGAGUGCACAAAAUCUUCACCGGGCUGUGUGUGUAACCGUGUACCACUACUAACAAAACAAGACCUGAAGCCUUUGGAACAGAGUCCAUUAUUCCCUUCCAUCUUUUCUUGUGUCAUCUGUCUGAACACUUAACUGUCUGAAGAAAACCUGAGAAUCUAUCGUGAGAGAUAUUCAAAGAAACCAAGUUUUUAAGACCGGACAGGGAAAAGAGGUGGCCUGAAAGCAUGUUGUACGAUAUAUCCAGCACAGAUAAUCGGUUAAGAGCUGAGAUCCUCGCCGGGAUGAAGCCAUCUAAUGAGUUCCGGCUCAAGUUUAAGGCAAUGUCUAGAUUUUCAAUGUCAAAGAGUUCUUCAGGUAUGGCUCCAAGAGAUGUUGUUACUGCUGAGAUCAAGAAGCUGAAGAUUCGUGCAUGACAAAGAGAUGUUGUUACUGCUGAGAUCAAGAAUGUGGUUUUGCAUAAUAGUUUGUGUCAAUACAGUCAGGAUUGUAAGAUGGUUUGUAUUUGAGACCUGAGCCGAGCGUUUAAGAUUUUUCCUCGUUUCAAGAGUAAAACUCCGUGUAUUACUACACUAAUGCCUAUCAAUUAGCCAAAAGAUAAAUAAUUUUUUGUGACUGAUGUUUAUACUAUCAAGUUAAUUGUAUAUUUUAGGUUAACUAGAUGUUUGGUGUCAAAGCUGUUGACUCCUCCAUCUCUUGAUCUUCGUUAAACCAAAUGAUAAAAUCAUGUUCAAUGAUCACUAUCAAAGCAUUGUCAUACAAAAAAGGGAGACAUUGAAGAAAAUAUGGUUCGACAUACAGAAUGUAUUUCAAACUUAGCAUUACAGCGAGUGAGCAUGGAAUAGAUAAACGGAAUAUCGCAGACAAGUAGUAAACAAAAACGACUUAUAUAUCCCAUCACACAAUGAAUAGUGGGUACUGAUUCUGAGUAGGUUCCCCUGAAAACCAAAUAAUAAAAAAGGUUAGAUAGUUGAGACUUUCACACUAAACUUCAGAGGAUACAUAACCAACAAAACGAACAAUAUGGAACAUUAUACCAAAAAUAUAAACCUGAGACGUUUUAUUCUCCUUAGUAGUAGCUAAGAUUGUUGAAUUGAACACUAGGAAUGUGUUGGACUUUGUAGUAACUUUCCCCACCUGAUUCCAAUUUCUCAUUCCACUCCUUGUUCAUACCUGAAAUUUCCAGUUCCUUUAAAGAGAUUAUAUACUUCAGCCCUUCCGGUAUCUCCUUCAACUUGCCACAAAAUCCUAUAGACAAAGUACGAAGACAUGACAUCGACCCUUCUUCGAUUUCCCACUCUUCCAACUCUUUUAGAACCACUAAAUCUAGCUUAUGUAAUUGAGGGAAUCCACCUUUUGAACACACCAUUUUCCUCCCUGCGAAAGCAUCAAAGCAUAAUAUAACAGACUUUAAAUGAAGCAACUUUUCCAGAAUCGGGAGUGGGUCCUCCUCCAUUCUGCAUUGACCUAGAGAUAUGCUUGCAAGGUUUGGAGGGAAUCGAGAGUGCUCAG